rfam:Cavia porcellus supercont2_52 genomic scaffold, whole genome shotgun sequence.
GGGGAUUUAGCUCAGCGGCAUAAGCGCCUGCCUUGCAAGCAGGCAGUCAUGUGUUCGAUCCCCG